UCCCCUGAGAGAUUUUACUUUCUUCUCUUUGCAUCUGAGUCCUCACAAGGGCUGAAUGUGAGGUGUGAUGUGGAGAGGGCGCAGCAUCACAGCCAUUCACAGCAUUCCCAAGAAGGGUGUCUGGGAAGGACACUCUUCUUUCUCCACUAGAGCAUUUAGUACCUGCACAUCACAGAAAACAUCUUCACCUUUGCAGCACGUUGAAAUGCUACUUCCUGGAUUCGUCUCUGCUGCUGCCCUGCACCCAAAGAGCCAUGUGUGAUGCCUGGUCAGCUUGAAAAAUGAUGCUUUUGUGCUAUAUGCUGAAACACAUGAUGUAACUGAUGGCCAGGAUAAGAGUCAGAUGCUCAGCAAGGGUAAAUUGCCAUGGCUUCAGUCAAAUGAAAUGAGGUGCUAUCAAGAAGAAGCAGUGGAGCAUUUGGUCCCUCAGCUCAGAUGAGGCUCUAAACCUCAGCCUGCCAGAGGCAGGCAUUGGCAGUGAAAGGAGGAAGAGACUCUGUCCAAGGGAGAAGAUUGCUGUCUUUGCUGGUUCUGUGGCUUACUGAACAGGACAUGGAUGGUGGCCUGGGACAUGGGACUGAGGACAGAUCCUGAACUGCUUCCAGUUUGGAGUACCCAGAAG